rnacentral:rRNA from 1 species
AUAUCAAUAAGCGGAGGAAAAGAAACCAACCGGGAUUGCCUCAGUAACGGCGAGUGAAGCGGCAAAAGCUCAAAUUUGAAAUCUGGCCUGUGGUCCGAAUUGUAAUUUGAAGAAGCGACUCUGGUACCGGCCCUUGUCUAUGUUCCUUGGAACAGGACGUCACAGAGGGUGAGAAUCCCGUGCGAUGGGGUGUCCGGUGCCGUGUAGAGCGUUUUCGACGAGUCGAGUUGUUUGGGAAUGCAGCUCUAAGUGGGUGGUAAAUUCCAUCUAAAGCUAAAUACAGGCGAGAGACCGAUAGCGAACAAGUACUGUGAAGGAAAGAUGAAAAGAACUUUGAAAAGAGAGUGAAAAAGUACGUGAAAUUGUUGAAAGGGAAGGGCUUGGGAUCAGACUUUGUAUUUAUAUGGCCUCCUCUCGGGGGGGUCCGCUAUUUUUACGGGGCCAGCAUGGGUUCUGCGGGAAGGACAAUGUCCUGGGAAUGUGGCUCUGCUUCGGCGGAGUGUUAUAGCCCGGGGGGAUGCUUCCACGCGGGACCGAGGACUGCGGAUCUAGGAUGCUGGCAUAAU